rnacentral:rRNA from 1 species
GACGAACGCUGGCGGCGCGCCUAACACAUGCAAGUCGAACGGAGCUGCGAGAAGCUUGCUUUUCUUAGCUUAGUGGCGAACGGGUGAGUAACGCGUGAGUAACCUGCCCUGGAGUGGGGGACCACAGUUGGAAACGACUGCUAAUACCGCAUAAGCCCACGAUCCGGCAUCGGAUUGAGGGAAAAGGAUUUAUUCGCUUCAGGAUGGACUCGCGUCCAAUUAGCUAGUUGGUGAGGUAACGGCCCACCAAGGCGACGAUUGGUAGCCGGACUGAGAGGUUGAACGGCCACAUUGGGACUGAGACACGGCCCAGACUCCUACGGGAGGGAGCAGUGGGGGAUAUUGCACAAUGGGGGAAAACCUGAUGCAGCGACGCCGCGUGGAGGAAGAAGGUUUUCGGAUUGUAAACUCCUGUCGUGAGGGACGAUAAUGACGGUACCUAACAAGAAAGCACCGGCUAACUACGUG